rnacentral:rRNA from 1 species
UACGAAGGGUGCAAACGUUGCUCGGAAUUAUUGGGCGUAAAGCGCACGUAGGCGGCUUUGCAAGUCGGAAGUGAAAUCCCUCGGCUCAACCAAGGAAGUGCUUUCGAAACUGCAGAGCUUGAGUACUUAAGAGGAUCGCGGAAUUCUCGGUGUAGAGGUGAAAUUCGUAGAUAUUCGCAAGAACACCAGUGGCGAAGGCGGCUUACUGGUCCGGAUCUGACGCUGAGGCGCGAAAGCGUGGGGAGCAAACAGG